CUCGGACACGGGAGUUUGAGUCCUGCAAAUCAACAACGUCAGUGCCAUGCUGGUCCUCGCCCGGCCGGUGACGGGCCCCCGGGAGUACGUGCUGGACCUGGAGAUGGUCACCAUGAAUUCCCUCAUGAGCUACCGGGCCAGCUCUGUACUGAGGCUCACCGUCUUUGUGGGGGCCUACACCUUCUGAGGAGCAGGAGGGAGCCACCCUCCCUGCAGCUACCCUAGCUGAGGAGCCUGUUGUGAGGGGCAGAAUGAGAAAGGCCCAGGGGCCCCAUUGACAGGAGCUGGGAGCUCUGCACCACGAGCUUCAGUCACCCCGAGAGGAGAGGAGGUAACGAGGAGGGCGGACUCCAGGCCCCGGCCCAGAGAUUUGGACUUGGCUGGCUUGUAGGGGUCCUAAGAAACUC
rnacentral:sRNA from 1 species